GCCAGUGUGAUGUAGUGGUUUGAGUGUGGAGCUAUGACUCUAUGGACCAGGGUUCAAUUCCCCGCACUGCCG